GAUGAGCCAGAAUUGGCACCUUGUCUAUAAUAAGGUGCAAAAUGAUUUUAACUGAAGAGUUUGAUCAUGGCUCAGAUUGAACGCUGGCGGCAGGCUUAACACAUGCAAGUCGAGCGGGGGAAGGUAGCUUGCUACNGGACCUAGCGGCGGACGGG
rnacentral:rRNA from 1 species